AACUAACGAUCUAUGGGUUUAUAAGA
rnacentral:guide_RNA from 1 species